rnacentral:rRNA from 1 species
CAAUAGCGUAUAUUAAAGUUGUUGCAGUUAAAAAGCUCGUAGUUGGACUUCUGCGGGUGGCGGCCGGUCGUGCCCUUAUGUGGCGUGAACUUGGCUCUUUGCCGCCCGCAUCUUUGGGGAGAUUGUGCGUGGCAUUAGGUUGUCGUGCAUGGGAUUCUCAUCAUUUACUGUGAAAAAAUUAGAGUGUUUAAAGCAGGCCUUUGCCUUGAAUACAUUAGCAUGGAAUAAUAAGAUAGGACCGUUGUCUAUUUUGUUGGUUUACAGAUGUCGGUAAUGAUUAAUAGGGAUAGUUGGGGGUAUUCGUAUUCAGUUGUCAGAGGUGAAAUUCUUGGAUUUUCGGAAGACGCACGACUGCGAAAGCAUUUACCAAGGAUGUUUNCAUUAA